rnacentral:rRNA from 1 species
CUGGAAACAGUCGCCCGCAAGGUCUCUAUACAGGUGGUGCAUGGUUGUCGUCAGCUCGUGUCGUGAGAUGUGGGUUAAGUCCCGGCAACGAGCGCAACCUCGUCCUAUGUUGCCAGCACGUAAUGGUGGGAACUCAUGGGAUACUGCCGGGGUCAACUCGGAGGAAGGUGGGGGAUGACGUCAAAUCAUCAUGCCCCUUAUGUCUUGGGCUUCACGCAUGCUACAAUGGCCGGUACAAAGGGCUGCAAUACCGUAAGGUGGAGCGAAUCCCAAAAAGCCGGUACCCAGUUCGGAUUGAGGUCUGCAACUCGACCUCAUGAAGUCGGAGUCGCUAGUAAUCGCAGAUCAGCAACGCUGCGGUGAAUACGUUCCCGGGUCUU